rnacentral:rRNA from 1 species
GUGGCGAACGGGUGAGUAAUACGUGAGUAACCUGCCCUUGACUCUGGGAUAAGCCUGGGAAACUGGGUCUAAUACUGGAUACUACCUCUUACCGCAUGGUGGGUGGUGGAAAGGGUUUUACUGGUUUUGGAUGGGCUCACGGCCUAUCAGCUUGUUGGUGGGGUAAUGGCUCACCAAGGCGACGACGGGUAGCCGGCCUGAGAGGGUGACCGGCCACACUGGGACUGAGACACGGCCCAGACUCCUACGGGAGGCAGCAGUGGGGAAUAUUGCACAAUGGGCGGAAGCCUGAUGCAGCGACGCCGCGUGAGGGAUGACGGCCUUCGGGUUGUAAACCUCUUUCAGUAGGGAAGAAGCGAGAGUGACGGUACCUGCAGAAGAAGCGCCGGCUAACUACGUGCCAGCAGCCGCGGUAAUACGUAGGGCGCAAGCGUUGUCCGGAAUUAUUGGGCGUAAAGAGCUCGUAGGCGGUUUGUCGCGUCUGCUGUGAAAGCCCGGGGCUCAACCCCGGGUCUGCAGUGGGUACGGGCAGACUAGAGUGCAGUAGGGGAGACUGGAAUUCCUGGUGUAGCGGUGAAAUGCGCAGAUAUCAGGAGGAACACCGAUGGCGAAGGCAGGUCU